ACUCUCCUCUCCAGCCCAUCCUGUGCCCUCCCCGCCGCACUCUCCCCGCCCCCAAUACUAUCUGAGGUUCCUAGGAGGGAGGAGAAGCCAAAGCAGCCACUUCCAGUCCAGAACUUCCAGGAAUGGGAUAGGGGAGAGACAAGGAGAGGGAGAAAGCAGUGAAGAAGACCCUGAGACCGGGCGGCGAAGAGGGGCAGGCUGAGGUCUUACUUUGAAGCAACAUUUUAGAAAGCAAGAAGAGGGAUUGUGGCCAUGCUCAGAAGGUCAGCGGGGAGCCCGACGGCAAGGAUGAUUCAACUUUUACCACCAGAACGUAAACGCCAAGGGUAGCCGAGGCUGGGACUUUGGAGUCAGUGCAAACAUCCCUCUACUUCCCAGGAUACCUGGAGGGUUUCCUGUCCUCAGCACAGUACAGUCAUUCUCGCUUACAAUCAUGGCCCCAACUCAUCAGGAAAAGGAAGUGCUAACAGAACUGGAUUGGGGUAAGGAUGACUCCAAAACAACUAGAAGGAUUUCAUUGCACUGAGAUGCAGAAGACUCUAGGAGGAACUGGUUUGCAGGGGAAGAUGAGUUCCAUGUUGGACAUGCAGACUGACACUCCAGUCCUUACUGAUUGAGACGAGGCCCCUUCUGAGCUGCUGUCCAGGAGAGGAGGUGGUUGGCCACAUACUCAGCCCAAGCCAGUUUCCCUCAGGACUAUGCGGGACAAUAUGGCAGGGUACCGCGUAGAGCUUUACUGCAAAAAUAAACAAGGAAAGAGAAUCA